rfam:Brachypodium distachyon strain Bd21 chromosome 2, whole genome shotgun sequence.
AUUGUACUCCCCCCGUCCGUCCAACAAAAGAUGUCUCAAGUUUGUUAAAAUUUGGAUGUAUCUAGACAUGACUUAGUCUAUAGAUGCAUUCAAAUUUGGUCAAAGUUGAGACAUUUUUUGUUGGAUGGAGGGAGUAUCAA